AGCGCAGGCGGGAAGGCAAGUUGGAAGUGAAAUCCAUGGGCUCAACCCAUGAACUGCUUUCAAAACUGUUUUUCUUGAGUAGUGCAGAGGUAGGCGGAAUUCCCGGUGUAGCGGUGCAAUGCGUAGAUAUCGGGAGGAACACCAGUGGCGAAGGCGGCCUACUGGGCACCAACUGACGCUGAGGCUCGAAAGUGUGGGUAGCAAACA
rnacentral:rRNA from 1 species